rnacentral:lncRNA from 1 species
UGACUUAAGAGAUUAAUAAACAAUAUUGACAAGGAUAUCGAUAAGUAUCAUAUAUAUUUAAAAUAUUAUUUUUUUCCUAUCAUAUAAUUUGUUUGUAUGCUCGGGAAAUUACAUACAUCGUCGUCCUGGUCGUGAUAAUGACGGCGGCAGCAGUGUGCAUGGGGUUGGUGAAGCAUCAAAUGCGGAUGGAGUUGCCAAGGUGAUUGAAAUUAGAUUGCAGAGAAAGAUAAACAACAAAACCACAAUUGAGACCCUCCGACCCAUUUCUUGCUCUACUUUUUUUA